rnacentral:tRNA from 1 species
GCAAGUAUAAGUUAAGGGUAAACUUCAUGCCUUCCAAGCAUUCAAUGCUCGUUCGAAUCGAGUUACUUGCA